CACACGGAAAGGCAGGGAGGCUCUGCCUGACCCCACCGCCUCCUCCACCCUCCGGUUUGAUUUGCAUUUGAGAACGGGACUCAGACCCCGCUGGCUGCCGGGACUCCUGCCGGAGACAGGCUCAGGGCAUCUGCAGUUCUCAGUGUGGGAAACGCUGCCUGGGUCCUUCCCCUGCACCCACAGAAAGUGCCCAAGGUGCCCCGGGCACCAGCUCGCCCGCUUGUGCAGGGAGGGCUGGGCCGGAAGUUAGAGGCGAACACUGCAGGAUAAUGGGUGAUUGGACCAUGUUAUUCUUACUUCUAGCAACAGUGAAAAUAAUUCUGAAGCAAAGCAAGCAGAAGACAGAGUUAAUAGCAGGAAUAUCUGUCCAGGCCCUAGGAAGGCUCCGAUCCCAACUUUCCCCAUUACGUGGGUGGUAACGUGAGACACGGCAGCAGGCUGAGACCCGCCCAAGGCCAUACAGCCUCAGGAGCUCCUCCCUCUUCUCCAGGACCGCCAUUCCCUAGAGCACCCCCAAGUGGGAUUGAGGCCGGGGCCCAACACUGAGAUACAUUCCUGUUCGUUUUUAAAAAGCUUGCGAUGCAGGUUCUGGCUAAGUCACUAAAUUGCCCUAGCUGGGCUAGAACUCGAGAUCCUUCUGCUGCAGCCUCCCAGAGCACAAGAUUACAGCCAUUUGGGAUGCUUCUGACAUCUGUGGAG
ensembl:lncRNA